ACAAAAUAAAGUGUUCCCCUUUCUGUAGUUCUAGCAUAUAUACCAAAAGACUACAUGGUAUCCCUCCUUUAUGAAUCAAAAAAAUUAGGAGCAUAAUGGUGUAUCUUUAUCUUCAAACUUUUUCAUAUUUUUACAUCUUUUUUUUUCACUAAGUUUUACUUGUUAAUGCAUCCAAAAAAGACUCUCCAACUGAGAAUUAUAUAGCACCAUGAAAUAUAACAGAAGUGGAACAAUUCCAUUACUGAAUUACAAGAUUGUACAAGCACACCCGCCUUUUUUAAGCGAAUCAUCCUUCAGCUUAUGAUUGUUUCUAUCAUUAACGGGGGGCCGUACAACAACAUGCAUAGUGAUGACACCUCCUGGAACUUCAACGGCUGGAAGUCUGGAUUCACCAAGAGUUUUACUAUUUUCAAGGAUCCUUC
rnacentral:misc_RNA from 1 species